AUUGAACGCUGGCGGCAGGCCUAACACAUGCAAGUCGAGCGAGCGGCGGACGGGUGAGGAAUGUCUGGGGAACAUCCUGAUGGAGGGGGAGACCUACUGGAAAAGAUAGAUAAAACCGCAUACGAUCAGAUGUGCCCAGAUGGGAUUAGCUAGUAGGUGGGGUAACGGCCAACCAAGGCGACGAGCCCUAGAUGGUUUGAGAGGUUGACCAGCCACACUGGAACUGAGACACGGUCCAGAGUCCUACGGGAGUCAGCAGUGGGGAAGAUUGCACAAUGGGCGCAAGCCUGAUGCAGCCAUGCCGCGUGUGUGAAGAAGGCCGUCGGGUUGUAAAGCACUUUCAGCGGGGAGGCGUUACCCGCAGAAGAAGCACCGGCUAACUCCGUGCCAGCAGCCGCGGUAAUAC
rnacentral:rRNA from 1 species